ensembl:lncRNA LINC03004 long intergenic non-protein coding RNA 3004
GGAACUUCCCUUUGUGGAAGUUCCUGGAUCUUCCAGAGCCUGGGGAGUUUUCCUCUUCCUUGGAUUCCAGGAGAUAUGUUAAUAUUCUUUUAAUAAAUGCCUUUUUUGUGUAGAAAUGCUUGUUUGGUUUCUGAUAGUUGUAACCUAAAAAAUCUUUAGUAAGCCAUUGGUCUGCUGUGGGGAGCGUCGAGAUGAAACUGGAACGUUGUUUGAACCUAGAUCAUAAAGUGACUCCAACAUCUUCAUACCAGGGAGAGGAGGAAGCUGUGCUGUGAAGGAUCCUUUUUCAUCAUGAUUAUUGCAUCCACAGAAGCAGUGAUAAAUUCUAACAGAUAAUGCAACUCAGUCUACUUGGAUGUUCACACCUGAGACUGGAGAAGACCUGCUGCCUUCUGCAGAGCCAAACAUUCCUCACAUGCUCCUCCACAAUGCUGUUUUAAAGCCACUUUUUGAAGAGAGACGUUUGCUGAGCUGCAUUUUUACAAUACACUCUAUUCCAUGAGGCACAUGAUGGAGUUCAAGGAUUGCUCAUCAUUAUCCAGUUGGACACUAGGACAAGAAACUUCUGGAAAACAGUUUUACUCCAGGGCAUCUGCUCCUC